rnacentral:rRNA from 1 species
UGCAGUCCGAACGGCAGCGCGAGAGAGCUUGCUUCUCUUGGCGGCGAGUGGCGGACGGGUGAGUAAUAUAUCGGAACGUGCCCGGUAGCGGGGGAUAACUACUCGAAAGAGUGGCUAAUACCGCACACGCCCUACGGGGGAAAGGGGGGGAUCGCAGGACCUCUCACUAUUGGAGCGGCCGAUAUCGGAUUAGCUAGUUGGUGGGGUAAAGGCUCACCAAGGCAACGAUCCGUAGCUGGUUUGAGAGGACGACCAGCCACACUGGGACUGAGACACGGCCCAGACUUCCUACGGGAGGCGGCAGUGGGGAAUUUUGGACAAUGGGGGAAACCCUGAUCCCAGCCAUCCCGCGUGUAUGAUGAAGGCCUUCGGGUUGUAAAGUACUUUUGGCAGAGAAGAAAAGGUAUCCCCUAAUACGGGAUACUGCUGACGGUAUCUGCAGAAUAAGCACCGGCUAAUCUACGUGCCAGCAGCCGCGGUAAUACGUAGGGUGCAAGCGUUAAUCGGAAUUACUGGGCGUAAAAGCGUGUGUAGGCGGUUCGGAAAGAAAGAUGUGAAAUCCCAGGGCUCAACCUUGGAACUGCAUUUUUAACUGCCGAGCUAGAGUAGAGGCAGAGGGGGGGUAGAAUUCCACGGUGGUAGCCAUGAAAUGCGUAAAUAUGGUGGGAGGAAUACCGAUGGGCGAACGCAGCCCCCUGGGAAUAAUACUGACGCUCAGACACGAAAGGCGUGGGGGAGCAAACAGGAUUAGAUACCCUGGCUAGUCCACGCCCUAAACGAUGUCAACUAGGCUGGUUGGGGGCCGUUAGGCCUCAGUAGCGCAGCUAACGCGUGAAGUUGACCGCCCUGGGGGGAGUACGGUCGCAAGAUUAAAACUCAUAGGAGUUGACGGCGACCCGCACAAGCGGUGGAUGAUGUGGUUUAAUUCGAUGCAACGCGAAAAACCUUACCUACCCUUGACAUGUCUGGAAAGCCGAAGAGAUUUGGCCUUGCUCGCAAGAGAACCGGAACACAGGUGCUGCAUGGCAGUCGUCAGCUCGUGUCGUGAGAUGUUGGGUUAAGUCCCGCAACGACCGCAACCCUUGUCAUUAGCUGCUACGCAAGAGCACUUUAAUGAGACUGCCGGUGACAAACCGGAGGAAGGUGGGGAUGACGUCAAGUCCUCAUGGCCCUUAUGGCUAGGGCUUCACACGUCAUACAAUGGUCGGGACAGAGGGUCGCCAACCCGCGAGGGGGAGCCAAUCUCAGAAACCCGAUCGUAGUCCGGAUCGCAGUCUGCAACUCGACUGCGUGAAGUCGGAAUCGCUAGUAAUCGCGGAUCAGAAUGUCGCGGUGAAUACGUUCCCGGGUCUUGUACACACCGCCCGUCACACCAUGGGAGUGGGUUUCACCAGAAGUAGGUAGCCUAACCGUAAGGAGGGCGCUAC